rnacentral:rRNA from 1 species
CAGUCGCCGCGGGAAUACGUAGGGUGCGAGCGUUAAUCGGAAUUACUGGGCGUAAAGCGUGCGCAGGCGGUGACGUAAGACAGUUGUGAAAUCCCCGGGCUCAACCUGGGAACUGCAUCUGUGACUGCAUCGCUGGAGUGCGGCAGAGGGGGAUGGAAUUCCGCGUGUAGCAGUGAAAUGCGUAGAUAUGCGGAGGAACACCGAUGGCGAAGGCAAUCCCCUGGGCCUGCACUGACGCUCAUGCACGAAAGCGUGGGGAGCAAACAGGAUUAGAUACCCCUGUAGUCCCUGUCUCUUAUAC